CGAAACUUUCACCUAUUUCUGUUUGUGCUCACGUAUGUGAUUGAAUCUCAGUUUAGGUCGAAAAGAUGUUCGAUUUGGGGAAGAAAGCAUUUCUUGCAUCUCAUUUGGAAAGCGUCCCAAAGUCUCGGCACUCUCCAUCCCGGCGUCCAGGUGACUAAUGGAAUGACACAACAACAAAGGGCCAUUGUGUUUUAUGGAGCCCUUCUCCUCAUCCUCCUCCUCAUCUCUUGACCACCAUUCUCUCUAUUUUUCCUGCGCGGGGCCGUAAAAGAAGGCCCGAUGAAUGGAGGGGGAACGCAGCGCGUGCCGAGCGACAAACGGGAGAGCGCAAAUGAAAGAGGGGAAAUGUAGAACGAGAAGGAGCGAGGCGGCUGAUGAUGGAUAAUGGGAUAAUGGCGCUAAAAGAAUUUCCACAAAAAAAAACAAAAAAAAGAGGAGGAGGAGGAUGUGAUGUAAAAGGAGAGGAGGAAGAGGAGCACAUAAAAGGACGUCGAGAUGAAGUUUCCACCGCGCCAGAUAGCAGAGAAAGGAAAGGGAGGACAUUUUGUCUGUUUACAUUCAUUUUGCGCUUGAAUGGGAAUCCUGUCACCACUCACGGGCUCUUGGUUGCGUUGAAGACGUCAUUCGGGAAGAGGUGAGGUUUUUUUUUUUCCUAGUUAGGAUUAAAAAGCGGACUCUUGUGUGUGUGUGUGUGUGUGUGUGUGUGUGUAUGUGAGUGUGGUUUAUGGGAUGGAUUGUCGCCACGGCUGUUGUGUGUCGAUUUGUGCGCUUGUCGCCGGUUUUUAUUGUCGCAGCAAGUCAUCCUGUGUGUGCUCGAUUCUAUCUGUUACCUUUACAGCCCC